UAAACGCUGGCGGCGUGCUUAACACAUGCAAGUCGAACGGAGUAUUCCUCGGAAGAUCGAAGAGCUGCUCAGAGAGAUUCUUGGAAUACUUAGUGGCGGACGGGUGAGUAACGCGUGGGUAACCUGCCUCACACAGGGGGAUAACAGUUGGAAACGACUGUUAAUACCGCAUAAGCGCACGGUACCGCAUGGUACAGUGUGAAAAACUCCGGUGGUGUGAGAUGGACCCGCGUCUGAUUAGCUAGUUGGUGAGGUAACGGCCCACCAAGGCGACGAUCAGUAGCCGGCCUGAGAGGGUGUACGGCCACAUUGGGACUGAGACACGGCCCAAACUCCUACGGGAGGCAGCAGUGGGGAAUAUUGCACAAUGGGGGAAACCCUGAUGCAGCGACGCCGCGUGAGUGAUGAAGUAUUUCGGUAUGUAAAGCUCUAUCAGCAGGGAAGAUAAUGACGGUACCUGACUAAGAAGCACCGGCUAAAUACGUGCCAGCAGCAGC
rnacentral:rRNA from 1 species